rnacentral:lncRNA from 1 species
CAGAUUAUUUCUUUUUUGAAUGAUGAUAAGAAAACCUAGGCAAUUUCUCACUACAUAGAUCUGUUCAUAAUAUUCAUUUAAGGCAACAAAAGUUCUUACUAUUAGAAAAAAAGUCUACUGUUGCAACUUAACAAUGAUUUAAAUUAUAUCUAGUUUUAUUUGGUUCAUGAAAUGGUAUCUUUCUGAAGUCAUUUUAGGAUAGAAUUUAGGAAACAUGGUGAUUUGGGGUAAAUAUUUUAGUUUCACAAGUUAUGGUUAACAUAUUAUGUCCUUAUGUACAUUUCCUAAUAAAUUUUCUAGAAAUGAGUAAUGGUAAUUUUUUUUUCACUGUUAUAUUCAUUUACAAAAGUAUCAUUUUCUGUUCUUAUUCAUGAAAUGGACAGCAUUUCUCUUUGUGGCCCUGUUGCCUUUUUUUUUCAAGAAAACGCAGAUAUUGCCCACUCCUGGUGAUUUUCCUUGCCUCAGACAUGCACUUGUGGUUUAUGUCACUCAUUUGGCCCUAGUUCAUAUCAUUAGUUAUUUUUUGAAGUUUGAUUUCAUUGAAUCAACAAGGUAUUUUUAACUAUUUGAUGUCAGGGCUCAUGCUGACAAUGAAUUCAGAAAUGGGAGAAUGUCAUGGAUAAGAAUAAUAAAGAACAAUUUUACAGAUAAAUCUGUAUUUAAACUGGAUCUUGGGAGAUUCAUCUACGUAGAGAGGAAGAAUAGUUCAUCAGUAAAUAUGAUGUUAGCAUUACAUUUCAGGUUUAAAUCGUAUUAAAGUUUUCUUCUGUUUCCAACUGGUUGACAGAUAAAAUGGCAAUAUUUUAGCUCUAUCUUGCAUAUUGAUGCUUGGGUGUUUAAAUCUUUGACAAGUGGGAAAUCUUCUUAUUGAUUCCUGAGUUCUCUGGAGAAAAAUCUUAGCAUAUAUAUGCAUAUAUAUAGCACACAUACACACACAUAUGUAUAUGUUUUAAAUAAAUGUAUAUAAAUAUAUACAUAUAUAUUAUAUACAUGUACA